rnacentral:sRNA from 2 species
UCCUAGGCCACGAUAGCAUGAAAUCUCUUUGUGCCGAAACCCGGCACAAAGAGAUUUCAAUGCAUAGAGGGAAAAACU